UACAGAGGGUGCAAGCGUUAAUCGGAAUUACUGGGCGUAAAGCGCGCGUAGGUGGUUUGUUAAGUUGGAUGUGAAAGCCCCGGGCUCAACCUGGGAACUGCAUCCAAAACUGGCAAGCUAGAGUACGGUAGAGGGUGGUGGAAUUUCCUGUGUAGCGGUGAAAUGCGUAGAUAUAGAAAGGAACACCAGUGGCGAAAGCGGCUUCCUGGUCCGACACCGACGUUCAGGCACGAAAGCGUGGGGAGCAAACAGG
rnacentral:rRNA from 1 species